rnacentral:rRNA from 1 species
CCUACGGGUGACAGCAGUGAGGAAUAUUGGUCAAUGGACGAGAGUCUGAACCAGCCAAGUCGCGUGAAGGAUGACUGCCCUAUGGGUUGUAAACUUCUUUUAUAUGGGAGUAAAAUGUUCCACGUGUAGGAUUUUGUAUGUACCAUAUGAUUCCGGCUCGGCUAACUCCGUGCCAGCAGCCGCGGUAAUACGGAGGGUCCGAGCGUUAUCCGGAUUUAUUGGGUUUAAAGGGAGCGUAGGUGGAUUGUUAAGUCAGUUGUGAAAGUUUGCGGCUCAACCGUAAAAUUGCAGUUGAAACUGGCAGUCUUGAGUACAGUAGAGGUGGGCGGAAUUCGUGGUGUAGCGGUGAAAUGCUUAGAUAUCACGAAGAACUCCGAUUGCGAAGGCAGUUCACUGGACUGCAACUGACACUGAGGCUCGAAAGUGUGGGGAUCAAACAGGAUUAGAUACCCGGGUAGUC